rnacentral:rRNA from 1 species
UACUCUGAGUGAUCCCCGCUAGGGGCAUUUUUUGGCCCCUCUAAAAAUGGUGCAAAAUAAGGGGUGGGCAAGUCUGGUGCCAGCCCCGCGGU